rnacentral:rRNA from 1 species
AGAGUUUGAUCAUGGCUCAGGACGAACGCUGGCGGCGUGCUUAACACAUGCAAGUCGAGCGGAAAGGCCCUUUGGGGUACUCGAGCGGCGAACGGGUGCGUAACACGUGGGCAACUUUCCCUUCGGUGGGGGGAUACCCCCGCGAAAGCGGGACUAAUACCGCAUAACACUCCCUUGGUUAGCUCUGAGGGAUUCAAAGCAGCAAUGCGCCGGAAGAGGGGCCCGCGGCCGAUUAGCUAGUUGGUGAGGUAACGGCUCACCAAGGCAAAGAUCGGUAGCCGGUCUGAGAGGAUGAUCGGCCACACUGGAACUGAGACACGGUCCAGACUCCUACGGGAGGCAGCAGUGGGGAAUCUUGCGCAAUGGGCGAAAGCCUGACGCAGCGACGCCGCGUGGGGGAUGAAGCUUUUCGGAGCGUAAACCCCUUUCGACCCGGACGAAUGCCCGCAAGGGCUUGACGGUACGGGUAGAAGAAGCCCCGGCUAACUACGUGCCAGCAGCCGCGGUAAAACGUAGGGGGCCAGCGUUGCUCGGAAUUACUGGGCGUAAAGGGUCUGUAGGCGGUGCGGCAAGUCGGAAGUGAAAUCUCAGGGCUUAACUCUGGGGCUGCUCCCGAAACUGCCGUGCUAGAGUGCGAGAUAGGCGAGUGGAAUUGCAGGUGUAGCGGUGAAAUGCGUAGAUAUCUGCAGGAACAUCCGAGGCGAAAGCGGCUCGCUCGAUCGCAACUGACGCUGAGAGACGAAAGCUAGGGGAGCAAACAGGAUUAGAUACCCCGGUAGUCC